rnacentral:rRNA from 1 species
UACGAGGGGUCCAAGCGUUGUUCGGAAUUACUGGGCGUAAAGCGGGUGUAGGCGGCCAUAACAGUCGGAUGUGAAAGCCCUGGGCUCAACCCAGGAAGUGCAUCCGAUACUAUAUGGCUUGAGUACUAGAGAGGGAAGUGGAAUUCCUGGUGUAGCGGUGAAAUGCGUAGAUAUCAGGAGGAACAUCGGUGGCGAAGGCG